UGUCAUUUGGUGACUGGUGGUGAGUUGUCUCAUUGGCAAUCAUACCACAUCUUCUUAUUUUUAUACGACCGCAAAAAAAUUUUUGUGGUCGUAUAUUGGUAUGACGUUGGCGUCGUCGUCGUCGUCGUCCGGCGUCGUCGUCGUCGUCGUCCGAAUACACAUUAGUUUUCGCACUCUAAAUUUAGUUUAAGUGAAUGAAUCUCAAUGAAAUUUUACCAUAAGGUUCAAUACCACAAAAGGAAGGUUGGGAUUGAUUUUGGGGGUUAUGGUACCAACAGUUAAGGAAUUAGGGGCCAAAAAGGGGCCAAAAAUAAGCAUUUUUCUAGUUUCCAGACAAUAACUUGUGGAACAGUGUAUGGAUCUCUCUGAAAUUAUACCACAAGUUUCCAUACCACAAAGGGAUGGUUAGGAUUUGCUUUGGUGGGUUAUGGCUCAAACCGUUUAGGAAUUAGGGGCAAAAAAGGGGGAAAAACAAAGGUGUCCUGGUUAAUGGACAAAUA